GCGGCCCGCUGGGGGAGCUGUUCUGUCUCUGCUCCCCUGCCCUCGCAGCUUAAUGAGACCGGUCCCGGUCUCAUUAAGCUGCGCGCUGGGGAGCAGAGACAGAACAGCUCCCCCA